GUCUUCGGCCAUACCACCCUGAACGCGCCCGAUGUUGUCUGAUCUGGGAAGCUAAGCAGAGUCGGGCCUG
rnacentral:rRNA from 1 species